ensembl:lncRNA
CCGGGUCACAGCUGUGACACAUAACUGCCAGCUGAGGGGCCUUGACACCUCCCACUGCUCCCCCCAGGCCUCAGUUUCCUCACCUGUAAAGAGAAGGAGCUGUGGGUCCUUCUGAGGUCAAAUGGUCAGUGACUUCAUAAUCAGAUAAUGGCAACAUGGCUGCCACGACUCAAACCGGAUUUUCACCCAAGGCGACGCAUCCCAGUCUAGAGUGAGCCGAGAGGGGUCCUAGAGCAGCUCAGUGGAGCGGCACGGAAUCUCACUGACCGACCCAGCACUCACCAGCCAGCGAGGCCGGCAGUUCUCACCCUGCAGGGGCACUGGCCAGACCCUCAGAUUAACCGAGCGGUCACUUUUCCACUCUCCAGGAAAUAACUUGCUCUUGGUUUCUUCCAUGUUCUCCCUACGGUCCCCUCAGAGCACCCUGUGGCUGGUGAACCAGAAUCAAAAAGGAAGCAGGAGAAGAAGUCUGCCACAUCCUCAGGGUAAAGGCAGAAGAGAGGCCUGGCCUGUGACCAACGACGGUGGUGGCACCCAGGUCCCAGCAGUGACCAGUCUGAGUGUGACCAGUGCAGCCAAACAGGGCUGCCUGGGCCCUUUCCAAAACCAGCCAGUGGUAUACACAGAACACAAAGGAAUAUUAUACAGCUGCCAAAAGGAACAGAAUUUUGAUAUGUGCUACAACAUCGAUGGACCUUGAACACAUGGUGAGUGAAAUGAGUCUGACGCAGAAAGACAAAUGCCGCACGAUUCCACUUAUAUGAGGGACUCAGAGUAGGCAGAUGCGCUGAGACAGAAAGCAGAAGAGAGGUUGCCAGGGGCUGGGCUGGGGGAGGGGAGAGUUACUGUUUAAGGGGCACAGAUAAUGGGCACGGAGUUUAUGCUCGGGUGAUAAAAAGCUCUGACUAGAGAUAAUGAUGAUGGUUGUGCCACACUGGGAAUAUACACUUACAAAUGCUUAAACUGAGAAAUAUCACGUUGUGCGUAUUUUGCCACAUUUAAAACAAACCAACCAACCAAGACCAACUUUAUGGAACAGGCACUUGGUCUUGGCACCAGAAAUGAGGAGGGGGUGUGGAGGGAGAGCAGUUUGCUGGGGGAGGGGAAGCUUCCAGUCUGGGCUUAUCACACGGUGGGGCGCAGAAACCUGGGCUGGGCAGGGCUUUGGGGAGACCUGGAGAAGGUGUGGGGCCCUGCCGUUCACCAAACGUGGCCUCCAGGGGCCCCCAGCACUGCUCUGGAGCCUGCGGCUCACCCACAAGGAGUCAUCUUCAGCAGAUUAGGCAAAUGAGCAGCCCCAGCCUGUUCCUGUGCCACCAGCAGGUGACAAAUGGUCAUUAGUAAGGAGGAAAGCAUGGUCCAUUUGUCAUCUCUGACAUCAGCAGUCCAGAAGGCCCUGUUGACUGCGGGGUUCCCUUCCCGAGGGAUGUGGCUGGCUACUCGCCAAGCCCGCCCUGGGAUCUUUCAAAGCCGUUCAGUUCACACGGAGCGAGCACAGCCCGGGGGACUGCAGCAACAUCAUUUUAACACUUCAUUACUUUGCUUCCUCAUUCACAAGACAGCUGCAUCCGAUGCAAUUUGUCAUUUCAUUAGGCAAUAAAUAUUGAAAUCAGCAAACAAACCAACGUGUGCAAGCACAGCUCAGCUGGCGGCAGCGAACUGAGCUGAUGCAGAGGGCACGGCGCAGCAGGGCCACCCAUCCACCUCACCCCUCACUUCUUCCUCAAAACCACACGUUCAUGUCGCAUCCUCCACCGCUGCCAUCUCCAGCCACAAGUACACACUACUGGGUGAUUUUGACACCAUGCUGUCAGCCCUUUAUUAUAAAGACACAGAAGCCCCUUUCUCAGGUCUCUGGCAGGCAACCCAGUCAGAAAACGGAAUUGUUUCCCUGCCUCCCUGUUUGCAGGCCCCUGGCAAUGCUCACCUGGCGCGGGACUUUGUAAUGCUCCGAGUGUCUCCUGUGCUGAGGGGAAGGCGGGAUAGGACUGUGAGUGAGGAGAGAGCCUGGGGGAUUCCGGACAAGGGGAGCAUGAUGAUACCGGUGCAGCCGCGGAGGCUGAGCUGGGAAAGACAGCAGGAUUGGAAGGGGCAUGGUGGGAGACGGAAGGUCAUUUCAGACCAGGGCAACAAGGAAUGAGGCAAGGAGAACUGGGGCCUGGCCCGGGGGCAGCAAAGAGACCCGCUGACCAGAGCAGAGACACUGCUGGGGUCAGGUCGCCAGGAGAAGGCGGGCUGAUGACACGGGGUCCUGGAGCUCUGCAGAGGACGGGACGGGCCCUGGCUGUGGAGGAUAGCCCACUGGGCACCUCUCCAGACAGGCGGUCAGGAAAGGAGAUGACCAAGGUCCACUUCCCACGCGGGACCUCUUCUAGCAUCAUCAUCGUUAGGACCACACUUAGCACUCAUGGUACACAAACCCCGUGCCACAGCAUCCUCUCUCUCCCUCACACACACUCAGACACAACACUGACACAGAUGCUCACACACUCUGAUACUCAGCUCUGCUCCGUCUCUUGCAGCCAGUUGGGGUGACUGAGGCAGAAAGGGUACCAGGCAGCCCCUGUGGGGUUCCUGUAGGAGAAAGUGGGGAUGGUGAAUGGUAAGACCUGCCAGCGAUCACAUGCUCCGCCCACAGGCACGUCUAUAAAGGGAAAGGGAAAAGCUGCAUCGAACUGAGCAUCCUGGAUGGGAGGACAGGAAAACACCUGCGUGACAUCCACCGAACACCUCCUUUGGGUGGGCAUACACCUGUUAUGGAGUUUAACUCUGAAACAGCCAUAUGAGGUACGCGCCUUUACCCCAGAGAGGUUAAGUCACCUGCCCAAGGUGACUCAGCCAGCAAGUGACACAGUUGAGACUGAAACCCAGAUCUGCACCUUUUUUCCUUCCUCUCCAGCUGCCUCCCUUAGCAGAGUCAGGAAAGCCAGCAGAGCUUCUCUACAACCCACUGAGUCACAGACUGUCUUCUAAGCCUUUCAGACUCAGUGCUCCUUCCACUCCUCCACCCAAAGGCAGUACACAGAUCUGGUAGUAGUCAUUUACACUUUAGUGUAAAUUUAAGUUCGAGUGCUACUUGUCCAAAGAGUAAUUUGCACGUUACCCCUCCACUCUAAGGGAUUCGGGGUCGGGGUGGGGGGUGGGCACAAACAUGCAGUCCAUCUCAGGAAUGAAACUUGUUAAAGAAACCCGAGGUAUAAGUGAGUAGCUGCAGGGAGACUAACAUAGCAGCCUUGAACUCCUACUAGUGGAGAAUCAAAUGCUCAUCUUAGACAUCCAGUUACCCGUCCCCAGUCUUCGUCAGGCCAUUGCCAAUUCCUCUCAGCAAUGACAUAAAUUCAUCCAUCACAAGAUGAGACAAGUCAUCCCAAUGUCGUUUUAAACCUGUUUUUCUUUUUCUGAACUUUUUCUUUUACAUAUACACGAAUAAAUUUUUACAAAAAUGCUUAGGUGGAAACGUAUCCAUCAUCUCAGUCACACUGUAGUUUUAUUGAUCUUGCUUUUUAUUUUUUUGGCUUUUGGCUCUCCCUCCCUCUUUCCCCACAACUGUGUCCUGUUGGUCUAUUUCUCUGUAAAACCCAGACUAAGACAGAUUUGAGAAGCCAGACAAAUAUACCCACAAACCCCAAGUGAAGAAUUUAGCUCGUACGCAUCCGUAUUUUCUUCCAUGCCCAUAGAAUCCUUUACAGACCAGGGCCCUGUCAGGAGCGAGGGUCAGGCAAGGAUCAGGGUUUUUCUAAGUGAGGAGUCAAGGUCUGGCUCCCGAUAACCUGGGAAAUGCUCCCCUCACCGCCCCCCCCCCCCCACAAGGUGUGCCCGUCUCCCUUCUCCACUUACUCCAGUGCGCACACUUGCAGCUCCACCAAGAAGUCACUCCUGGAACCUUAACUGAAAAGGUCCUGGGGCGCUGAACUGAAAGCAUUCGGUCACCAAAAUAGUGCUGCCGCUGACAGACGUAGCUGAGCAGCCUCCCGGGGUGGGGAGCACGGACAAACUCAGCCCUGGCGACACACAGAUCAGCAAUGACAGGGCAGGGGCUCAAGAAGACCCCAGCUCUGUGACCGAGAAAGCAUCGUAAGCCCCAUUGGAGAAUGUGGAUGUUUGUCUUACGAGGAAGACCAGACACGCGACCUGAACCUCAAGCAACGAUAAGAAGCGUGUACUUGAAAUUUAUCUUUAUUUUAACGAAUAAGGAAUAGACUCAGAAAGUUCGUAACCUAAUUGUUCAAGUCAUGUGGCUGGCAAGUGGUGGCGUUUAAAGGCUGGGAAGUCCAAGAUCAAGGCGCUAGAAGAUGUGGUGUCUGGUGAGGACCUGCUUCCUGGUUCUUAGAAGGCCGUCUUUUCUCUGUAGCCUCCCAUGGCAGAAUGGGAUUAUAAGGACACUAAUCCCAUUCAUGGGGGCUCCACCCUCAUGACCUAAAGGCCUCCCAAAGGCCCCACCUGCCCAUACCAUCACACCUGGGCUUAGGAUUUCAACAUAUGAAUUUGGGGGAGACACACAUUCAG